rnacentral:rRNA from 1 species
AGAGUUUGAUCCUGGCUCAGAUUGAACGCUGGCGGCAUGCCUUACACAUGCAAGUCGAACGGCAGCACGGGGGCAACCCUGGUGGCGAGUGGCGAACGGGUGAGUAAUACAUCGGAACGUGUCCUGUAGUGGGGGAUAGCCCGGCGAAAGCCGGAUUAAUACCGCAUACGCUCUACGGAGGAAAGGGGGGGAUCUUAGGACCUCCCGCUACAGGGGCGGCCGAUGGCAGAUUAGCUAGUUGGUGGGGUAAAGGCCUACCAAGGCGACGAUCUGUAGCUGGUCUGAGAGGACGACCAGCCACACUGGGACUGAGACACGGCCCAGACUCCUACGGGAGGCAGCAGUGGGGAAUUUUGGACAAUGGGGGAAACCCUGAUCCAGCAAUGCCGCGUGUGUGAAGAAGGCCUUCGGGUUGUAAAGCACUUUUGUCCGGAAAGAAAACCUCUGGGUUAAUACCCCGGGGGGAUGACGGUACCGGAAGAAUAAGCACCGGCUAACUACGUGCCAGCAGCCGCGGUAAUACGUAGGGUGCAAGCGUUAAUCGGAAUUACUGGGCGUAAAGCGUGCGCAGGCGGUCCGCUAAGACAGAUGUGAAAUCCCCGGGCUUAACCUGGGAACUGCAUUUGUGACUGGCGGGCUAGAGUAUGGCAGAGGGGGGUAGAAUUCCACGUGUAGCAGUGAAAUGCGUAGAGAUGUGGAGGAAUACCGAUGGCGAAGGCAGCCCCCUGGGCCAAUACUGACGCUCAUGCACGAAAGCGUGGGGAGCAAACAGGAUUAGAUACCCUGGUAGUCCACGCCCUAAACGAUGUCAACUAGUUGUCGGGUCUUCAUUGACUUGGUAACGUAGCUAACGCGUGAAGUUGACCGCCUGGGGAGUACGGUCGCAAGAUUAAAACUCAAAGGAAUUGACGG